AAGGGAGACCUAAUUCAGGUAUGGGGCGAAAAAAAAGUAGUCGCUACCAAGAAUCAAUCCCAAAAGGUCGGAGCGAGGUAUGAGGCUUUCAAACUAGGUUCUGGGUUCAAACAAGACCUGAAUCAGGAACAAGGGCUAUUAGCUCAGGUGGUUAGAGCGCACCCCUGAUAAGGGUGAGGUCCCUGGUUCGAGUCCAGGAUGGCCCACCUGCACAGGUGGCAAAAACAAGAGAAGCGAGGAAUCAGCACCUUAUCUUAUCUAUAUAUAAGAGAGAAUGCUGGCUCUGAGUAAAGAGUCCAGAGGAACCUUGAAAACUGCAUAGAGCUAGGUGAAAAAGCCAAAAAAGAAGACCGCAA
rnacentral:tRNA from 1 species